rnacentral:rRNA from 1 species
UCGGUAACCUGCCUCAUACAGGGGAAUAGCAGCUGGAAACGGCUGAUAAAACCGCAUAAGCGCACAGUGCCGCAUGGCACAGUGUGAAAAACUCCGGUGGUAUGAGAUGGACCCGCGUCUGAUUAGCUGGUUGGCGGGGUAACGGCCCACCAAGGCGACGAUCAGUAGCCGGCCUGAGAGGGUGAUCGGCCACAUUGGGACUGAGACACGGCCCAA